AUCAAUUGCAUCUUUGAUUAUUGAAGCUUUAUCCAUCUUGCUUAUGUUUGGGACCACAGCUCUAAGUGCAAAUAACCUUUCAUUCAAUUUCUUCCUCCUAUUCCUCUCUGAUACAAUGUUCUUCGAUGCCAUCGAUGAUUGUGACCCAUCCGGUGAACUUGAAUCAUAAUACGAUGAAAUUGGCUCAUCGAAAUAGCUAUCGAGCUCUUCUGAUUGUAAAAACAUAGUUGUUUCCCAAUAAUUUUUAUAUUCAUCACCAAUGUUGUCCAUUGAGAUGGAGUGAAGAUGAAGCA
rnacentral:misc_RNA from 1 species